rnacentral:rRNA from 1 species
UACGGGGGGGGCAAGCGUUGUUCGGAAUUACUGGGCGUAAAGGGCUCGUAGGCGGCCAACUAAGUCAGACGUGAAAUCCCUCGGCUUAACCGGGGAACUGCGUCUGAUACUGGAUGGCUUGAGUUUGGGAGAGGGAUGCGGAAUUCCAGGUGUAGCGGUGAAAUGCGUAGAUAUCUGGAGGAACACCGGUGGCGAAGGCGGCAUCCUGGACCAACACUCACGCUGAGGAGCGAAAGCCAGGGGAGCAAACGGG